rnacentral:rRNA from 1 species
AUUGAACGCUGGCGGCAUGCUUUACACAUGCAAGUCGAACGGCAGCGCGGGCUUCGGCCUGGCGGCGAGUGGCGAACGGGUGUGUAAUGCAUCGGAACGUGCCCAGUAGUGGGGGAUAGCCCGGCGAAAGCCGAGUUACUACCGCAUACCACCUGAGAGUGACAGCGGGGGACCGACAGGCCUCCCGCUAUUGGACCGCCCGAUGUCGGCUUAGCUAGUUGGUCGGGUAAAGGCUUACCAAGGCGACGAUCCGUCGCUGGUCUGAGAGGACGACCAGCCACACUGGGACUGAGACACGGCCCAGACUCCUACGGGAGGCAGCAGUGGGGAAUUUUGGACAAUGGGGGCAACCCUGAUCCAGCCAGGCCGCGUGCGUUAAGAAGGCCUCCGGGCUGUGAACCGCGUUUGUCCGGGAAGAAACUCUCUGGGCUAAUACCCCGCGUGGAGGACGGUACCGGAAGAAUAAGCACCGGCUAACUACGUG